UUCUGAAAUAUCCUGCUUACAUAUUCUACCCUGUGAACCUGGUGAUCCGGGUCCUUUAGGAUGUGAUCAGUAUGUUAGGAACGGGGGACAACUCGGCGUCGGACAAACAAAUAAUCCAGGGAAUGUAGGAACAUUUGGAACAGGGAGCGAAAAUUCUAUUGGGUCAUUAGCUAACGAUGCUUCCUUCUUGAACAUUCAAAAUAUAGCAGGAAUACAGUUUAUUGAUCCAACGCAGAUUGCAAAUCCUUCUCAUUUUGUUGAUCCUACAACACAAUUUCUGGAUCCUACAACACAAUUUGUAGAUCCUACAACACAAAUUCUGGAUCCUACAACACAAUUUUUGGAUCCUGCAUCUCAGUUCAUCGACCCUACAUUUACAGGCCAAUCAUUUGCCGGGACUGUAGGUCAAUUAGACCCUACAAUGCAAUUCAUUGACCCGACACAAGUUGUAGAUCCGUCAUUUAACGGAGCAGUUGGUGUAGGACAAUUGGAUCAGCCGACUGGGCCUUUCACAACUGGUUUAGAUUUCGUUGGUAAAUCUAAAAUGUCAAUGUCCUAUCCAAAGGGCAAAUUUACGACAAAAGGGAAAACUAUUGCAAAGGGAUAUCCGAAAGGAAUGAUUAUAAAGAAAUCCGUGGGAGGAUAUCCAAAAAGAUUGAUGGUCAGGUAUCCGAAAAAAUAUGUUAAAAAAGGUAUUCUUGGAUAUCCAAAAGGAAAAAUACCAACGUAUAGCAAAUAUCGAAAUGUUUAUGGUAAACCCCUUUAUAAAAGUCAGAAAUAUCAAAAAGCAUAUAGAUAUCCAAAGAACUAUAAAAUAGUAAGAUAUUUGAAGAAAAAAUCCAUGAUUGGAGGUUAUCCGAAAUUUGGUCUGAGGAUGAAAACUGGAAAGGGAAGAUCGUACUCAAAGGGAUAUCCAAAAUUUAGCAUCAGAUCAAAGAAAUCUCUUGGUGGAUAUUAAACCUUUGAGUAAUUGGAAUAUCUUUAGAAGACAGAACCUAAAGUUUUAUUUAGGUCUUUUUGUGUGUAAUUUAUUGUUAUUUAUUUUUUAAUACAAUUGUUGUUAUUUUA